rnacentral:rRNA from 1 species
GAUCAUGGCUCAGGAUGAACGCUAGCUACAGGCUUAACACAUGCAAGUCGAGGGGAAACGAUAUUGGAAGCUUGCUUCCGAUAGGCGUCGACCGGCGCACGGGUGAGUAACGCGUAUCCAACCUGCCCACCACUUGGGGGAUAACCUUGCGAAAGUAAGACUAAUGCCCAAUGACAUCCCACGAAGGCAUCCGAAUGGGAUUAAAGAUUUAUCGGUGAUGGAUGGGGAUGCGU